rnacentral:lncRNA from 1 species
GUAAGGAUGAGGAGUGGGUGGAGUGAGAGGAGGUGUGGUGAGAAAGGAAGUUGUGAUGAUGAAAGCUAUGCUACCUCCUGAGUUAUGGUAUACUGUUACUGUUCUUAUGGGGUACCCAAUGUAUGCUCCUUUUCAUCAAAGAGGAAGAAUUACUCUAACAACUAGAUCAGUAGCGUUGCUGAGGAAAACGACUGUUGCUAUGACAACUGUACAUAUACAUGUACUGUACAUCAAUAAAGAGAUA